GAUGAACGCUGGCGGCGUGCCUAAUACAUGCAAGUCGAGCGAACAGAUGAGGAGCUUGCUCCUCUGACGUUAGCGGCGGACGGGUGAGUAACACGUGGAUAACCUACCUAUAAGACUGGGAUAACUUCGGGAAACCGGAGCUAAUACCGGAUAAUAUAUUGAACCGCAUGGUUCAAUAGUGAAAGACGGUUUUGCUGUCACUUAUAGAUGGAUCCGCGCCGCAUUAGCUAGUUGGUAAGGUAACGGCUUACCAAGGCAACGAUGCGUAGCCGACCUGAGAGGGUGAUCGGCCACACUGGAACUGAGACACGGUCCAGACUCCUACGGGAGGCAGCAGUAGGGAAUCUUCCGCAAUGGGCGAAAGCCUGACGGAGCAACGCCGCGUGAGUGAUGAAGGUCUUCGGAUCGUAAAACUCUGUUAUUAGGGAAGAACAAAUGUGUAAGUAACUAUGCACGUCUUGACGGUACCUAAUCAGAAAGCCACGGCUAACUACGUA
rnacentral:rRNA from 1 species